UUAGCGAACGACAAACAUUAUACACAUGAAACGUCUUUUUCUUUUUUUAAAUAUUCUAGAGUGAAAUAAAACACUAGAAAUCAUAGGUAAAACCUGGAAUUAAUUUGUGCACUUCACUUCAAGAACAUCUACUAUUUUUGCAGCCGUCCCUCUGCUGGAAUUCACUCUCGGCUGCCUUGGGGUGCUGGUGGACCCAAGACCGAAAUUAUGGACUUUUCGAACAAAACAACGGGAAAGUCUGUGUAUCUAUACACUAGACGAGAAGUUGCGGUCGUAUAACGUCCUUGCAGGCUCAAUGUCGUCUCGGUGUGUAAAUCGAAGAAUGUCACAAAAAACCGGAUGAUUUACAAAGCAGCAACACAACAGCAGCAGAUGGAUAGAAUUUAUUACAUGCGGAAUUCCAAAUUGAAAAUGGAGAAAUAAUUUGGUUUUUUUAUUUGGAAACGACGUGGUGUGGCGCCAUUUCACGUCCUUCUCACGUCAUCGAUUCUAGUUCCUCGUUUUUUGGGCUUUUGAAAAAUGAAUGCGCUCCAUUGUUUUCUCUC